GACAGAGGUGCCGAGCGUUAGGCGGAAUCACUGGGCUUAAAGCGUGUGUAGGCGGGCGAUCAAGUACCUUGUGAAAUCCCACGGCUCAACCGUGGAACCGCUGGGUAUACUGGUUGUCUUGAGCCGGCUAGGGGCGAGCGGAACAGACGGUGGAGCGGUGAAAUGCGUAGACAUCGUCUGGAACGCCGAAGGUGAAAACAGCUCGCUGGGGCCGCGCUGACGCUGAGACACGAAAGCCAGGGGAGCGAACGGG
rnacentral:rRNA from 1 species